GACGAACGCUGGCGGCGUGCUUAACACAUGCAAGUCGAACGGAGUUUCUUGGAUCAAGACUUCGGUCAAGUGAAUGGAAACUUAGUGGCGGACUGGUGAGUAACGCGUGAGGAACCUGCCUUUCAGUGGGGGACAACAGUUGGAAACGACUGCUAAUACCGCAUAAUGUUAUUUGGGGGCAUCCCUGAAUAACCAAAGCUUAAUGUGCUGAAAGAUGGUCUCGCGUCUGAUUAGCUGGUUGGUGAGGUAACGGCUCACCAAGGCGACGAUCAGUAGCCGGUCUGAGAGGAUGAACGGCCACAUUGGGACUGAGAUACGGCCCAG
rnacentral:rRNA from 1 species